UGUUAAAAGUUUCAUGCAUUUGUACUGUUAAAAACUAGUAUAGUUGACAGAAUAACUAGGCAAUGACACAUGAUAUGCCAUGUGUAUCUCAUGUUGGCGAACAAAAACUAAUUUUUAAUAGUAGAAUUGGAUGAAACUUUUAACA
rfam:Gossypium raimondii Chr13_contig_6, whole genome shotgun sequence.